GAUGAACGCUGGCGGCGUGCCUGAUACAUGCAAGUCGAGCGAACGGACGAGAAGCUUGCUUCUCUGAUGUUAGCGGCGGACGGGUGAGUAACACGUGGAUAACCUACCUAUAAGACUGGGAUAACUUCGGGAAACCGGAGCUAAUACCGGAUAAUAUUUUGAACCGCAUGGUUCAAAAGUGAAAGACGGUCUUGCUGUCACUUAUAGAUGGAUCCGCGCUGCAUUAGCUAGUUGGUAAGGUAACGGCUUACCAAGGCAACGAUGCAUAGCCGACCUGAGAGGGUGAUCGGCCACACUGGAACUGAGACACGGUCCAGACUCCUACGGGAGGCAGCAGUAGGGAAUCUUCCGCAAUGGGCGAAAGCCUGACGGAGCAACGCCGCGUGAGUGAUGAAGGUCUUCGGAUCGUAAAACUCUGUUAUUAGGGAAGAACAUAUGUGUAAGUAACUGUGCACAUCUUGACGGUACCUAAUCAGAAAGCCAUGGCUAACUACGUG
rnacentral:rRNA from 1 species